GGAACUAGAAGCUCAGAAUGAGAUGGUCAUCAGAGAGAGAGAGAGAGAAUGCAGUGGAACUAGAAGCUCAGAAUGAGAUGGUCAUCAGAGAAAGAGAAUACAGUGGAACUAGAAGCUCAGAAUGAGAUGGUCAUCAGAGAGAGAGAGAGAGAAUGCAGUGGAACUAGAAGCUCAGAAUGAGAUGGCCAUCAGAGAGAGAGAAUACAGUGGAACUAGAAGCUCAGAAUGAGAUGGUCAUCAGAGAGAGAGAGAGAGAUGCAGUGGAACUAGAAGCUCAGAAUGAGAUGGCCAUCAGAGAGAGAGAAUACAGUGGAACUAGAAGCUCAGAAUGAGAUGGUCAUCAGAGAGAGAGAGAGAAUACAGUGGAACUAGAAGCUCAGAAUGAGAUGGUCAUCAGAGAGAGAGAGAGAAUGCAGUGGAACUAGAAUCUCAUAAUGAGAUGGUCAUCAGAGAGAGAGAGAAUGCAGUGGAACUAGAAGCUCAGAAUGAGAUGGCCAUCAGAGAGAGAGAGAGAGAGAGAAUGCAGUGGAACUAGAAGCUCAGAAUGAGAUGGCCAUCAGAGAGAGAGAGAGAGAGAUACAAUGCAGUGGAACUAGAAGCUCAGAAUGAGAUGGCCAUCAGAGAGAGAGAGAGAAUGCAGUGGAACUAGAAGCUCAGAAUGAGAUGGUCAUCAGAGAGAGAGAGAGAAUGCAGUGGAACUAGAAGCUCAGAAUGAGACGGUCAUCAGAGAGAGAGAGAGAAUGCAGUGGAACUAGAAGCUCAGAAUGAGACGGUCAUCAGAGAGAGGGAGAGAGAAUGCAGUGGAACUAGAAGCUCAGAAUGAGAUGGUCAUCAGAGAGAGAGAGAGAGAGAUGCAGUGGAACUAGAAGCUCAGAAUGAGAUGGUCAUCAGAGAGAGAGAGAGAGAGAAUGUUGUGGAACUUUAAGCUCAGAAUGAGAUGGUCAUCGCUCUGACUGGAAUAUUUGUUCAUGUCAUCUAGAUCAAGGACAGAUUAGCUUUGGGUCUGUAUGAGGCGCUGUCCUGCAGUCAAUUACCAAAAGCCUCGUGGGUGGAAUGUUAUUCAUGCUUUUCAUAAUUUCAUAAACAUUUUUUUUUUUUUUUUUUACUUGAUGAAAAUCUGGUGUUUCUAUGUCAAACAGUUAACAGUUAUAUUUCAGACUUCUGUAAUGUUUAAAUUACAUUGCUGCCUGCUAUAUGAUGAGAGAGCUGUGGGUUGGCAGACCACUACAUUGCUGCCUGCUAUAUGAUGAGAGAUAUGGGUUGGCAGACCACUACAUUGCUGCCUGCUAUAUGAUGAGAGAGAUGUGGGUUGGCAGACCACUACAUUGCUGCCUGCUAUAUGAUGAGAGAGCUGUGGGUUGGCAGACCACUACAUUGCUGCCUGCUAUAUGAUGAGGGAGAUGAGAGAGCUGUGGGUUGGCAGACCACUACAUUGCUGCCUGCUAUAUGAUGAGAGAGAUGUGGG
ensembl:lncRNA